rnacentral:rRNA from 1 species
UACGGAAGGCAGCAGUGGGGAAUAUUGCACAAUGGGCGCAAGCCUGAUGCAGCCAUGCCGCGUGUAUGAAAAAGGCCUUCGGGUUGUAAAGUACUUUCAGUCGUGAGGAAGGUGUUAAGGUUAAUAACCUUAGCAAUUGACGUUAGCGACAGAAGAAGCACCGGCUAACUCCGUGCCAGCAGCCGCGGUAAUACGGAGGGUGCGAGCGUUAAUCGGAAUUACUGGGCGUAAAGGGCACGCAGGCGGUUAAUUAAGUUGGAUGUGAAAUCCCCGGGCUUAACCUGGGAAUGGCAUUCAAGACUGGUUAGCUAGAGUCUUGUAGAGGGGGUAGAAUUCCAUGUGUAGCGAUGAAAUGCGUAGAGAUGUGGAGGAAUACCGGUGGCGAAGGCGGCCCCUGGACAAAGACUGACGCUCAUGUGCGAAAGCGUGGGGAGCAAAC